CGAACGGGUGAGUAACACGUGGGCAACCUUUCCUAUCGCGGGGGAUAACACCGGGAAACCGAUGCUAAUACCGCAUGUCGUCACUGAUCGCAGGGUUGGUGAAGAAAGCAGCAAUGCACGAUGGGGUGGGCCCGCGGCCUAUCAGCUAGUCGGUGGGGUAACGGCCUACCGAGGCGAUGACGGGUAGCUGGUCUGAGAGGACGGCCAGCCACACGGGGACUGAGACACGGCCCCG
rnacentral:rRNA from 1 species